GGAUGUAAGCCAAUCGCGUUGAUUACAAGACCCCUCUAACCCCAGACCCGCCGUACCUCGUAAAGAGUGUCCAUGUCCCCUCGAAAGCCAGGUGUAAACUGCCUGAAUCGCUACCUCACCAGAUGGGACUGCACCGUAUGCAAAGGCUACUCUGCUCACGCUCGCCUCCUAAGUGGAAAAUGUAAGAGGGUCAUCAUGAGCAGAGGACGUGGACAAACCCUGACCACCGAUUGUCUAACAGAUCUGACGUGACACAAUCGGCUCGGCUCCGAGCCGAGGUGGCCGGGUUGUAAAUUAAUUCAUUAUUUGCUCUCCCUAUAAAUAGAGUAGGAGUUCUUGUAAAGGGGGGACAUGAUUUUUGAGAUCUCUCCCAGGAAAAAAAAAAAAAAAAAAAAAGAAGCUCGGCCUUAUCACUUGCCAUAUUGCAUCCUCCUCCAAAGUUUCUUCUCCUUUGUAAUUACGUAAAUAUAGCCGUAUCUCUUUAUGUUAACCACUUGAAUAUCUGUGGCCCAAAC
rnacentral:lncRNA from 1 species